rnacentral:rRNA from 1 species
UACGGAGGGUGCAAGCGUUAUCCGGAUUCACUGGGUUUAAAGGGUGCGUAGGCGGGCAGGUAAGUCCGUGGUGAAAUCUCCAAGCUUAACUUGGAAACUGCCGUGGAUACUAUUUGUCUUGAAUAUAGUGGAGGUGAGCGGAAUAUGUCAUGUAGCGGUGAAAUGCUUAGAUAUGACAUAGAACACCAAUUGCGAAGGCAGCUUACUACCCGAAUAUUGACACUGAGGCACGAAAGCGUGGGGAGCAAACAGG